rnacentral:rRNA from 1 species
UAGGGAAUCUUCCGCAAUGGGCGAAAGCCUGACGGAGCAACGCCGCGUGAGUGAUGAAGGUCUUCGGAUCGUAAAACUCUGUUAUUAGGGAAGAACAAAUGUGUAAGUAACUAUGCACGUCUUGACGGUACCUAAUCAGAAAGCCACGGCUAACUACGUGCCAGCAGCCGCGGUAAUACGGAGGUGGCAAGCGUUAUCCGGAAUUAUUGGGCGUAAAGCGCGCGUAGGCGGUUUUUUAAGUCUGAUGUGAAAGCCCACGGCUCAACCGUGGAGGGUCAUUGGAAACUGGAGAACUUGAGUGCAGAAGAGGAAAGUGGAAUUCCAUGUGUAGCGGUGAAAUGCGCAGAGAUAUGGAGGAACACCAGUGGCGAAGGCGACUUUCUGGUCUGUAACUGACGCUGAUGUGCGAAAGCGUGGGGAUCAAACAGG